GCCCGGGUGGCUCAGUCGGUUAAGCGUCCGACUCUUGGUUUCGGCUCAGGUCGUGAUCUCACGGGCUCGUGGGUUCAAGCCCCGCUUUGGGCU
rnacentral:tRNA from 1 species